ACAGACAUAAUGUCACAAGUAAAAUUAACUAAAUACAAUGUGUGGGAUUAUUAUAAAAAUCCGCAGAAUUGGCGAGCAGAGUGAAAGUUUUGCGAAUCAAGUUUGGCCUAUAUCAAUUUUGGAAAUUUUUUAAAACAUUUACGUAAAAAGCAUAAAGACGACUUCGAAUCCAUAGUUAACAGAAAGCAAAUAGAAACGCCGGAGAUAUAUUACAACAAAUUAAAAUUGCAAAUUAGAAGGAUGCACUUUUCAAGGAUGUUAUAUCGACAAAAACUUUAGAGAACAUGUAAUAAAAUAUCAUAAAGAAGUUACUUUAUACGAAGAAGAAAAGGGAGGAUACCCGUGGAUGCAUUUCAACGAUCAUCAGGAAACACCCCUUUCUGACUAUACGUCAAAAAUAGGCAAUAGUUGGGAAUGGAAAUACUGUACACAGAGUGAUGAUUAUCAUGUGCGAUGCAAUCUUUGUACUACCAAAAUAGAACUUGAUGUUAAAUUAACGGAUUUAAACUAUUAUUGUCAAGAUAUUGAUCUGAACAAGCCGACAAGAAUGAAAAGAGCGUAUGACGCAGCGUCAGGACCGUCAAGAAGCCAACAAAACUAAAGAAAAAAAGUGACAGUUGAUCAUGGAAAUAACGACGUUCAAGUAGCACGACAAUCAGCACGACAUGAAAAAACAAUCUCGACUUUGGUGAUUGAAACAAUCUAUAGUAUGAAAAGGAAAUAAUAUAUCUCUGACGGGUAAUUAUUUGUUUUAUGUUUAUAAAAUUAU